rnacentral:rRNA from 1 species
UACGAAUGUUGCAAGCGUUACUCGGAAUUACUAGGCGUAAAGGGCAGGUAGGUGGUUUGGUAAGUCUAUUGUGAAAGCUCCCGGCUCAACUGGGAGAGGCCAAUGGAUACUGCCAAGCUUGAGUAUAGGAGAGGUUACUGGAAUUCCCGGUGUAGCGGUGAAAUGCGCAGAUAUCGGGAGGAACACCAAUGGCGAAAGCAGGUAACUGGACUAUUACUGACACUCAACUGCGAAAGCUAGGGGAGCAAACAGG